rnacentral:rRNA from 1 species
AAUAUUGGUCAAUGGACGCAAGUCUGAACCAGCCCCGUCGCGUGAAGGAAGACGGCCCUCCGGGUUGUAAACUUCUUUUUUAAGGGAAUACAGUGAGUCACGUGUGACUUUUUGCAUGUACCUUACGAAUAAGGAUCGGCGAACUCCCUGCCAGCACCCGCGGUAAUACGGAGGAUCCGAGCGUUAUCCGGAUUUAUUGGGUUUAGAGGGUGCGCAGGCGGGAGAUUAAGUGGGAGGUGAAAUUUUGCAGCUCAACUGUAAAAGUGCCUUCGAAACUGGUUUCCUUGAGUGUAGAUGAAGUAGGCGGAAUUUGUGGUGUAGCGGUGAAAUGCAUAGAUAUCACGAGGAACUCCGAUUGCGCAGGCAGCUUACUAAGCUACUACUGACGCUCAGGCACGAAGGCGUGGGGAUCAAACAGG